AAAACAUUACAAAUAAAGGCUCCCCCUGAGAUAGGUUCGAGCAGUACCAAUUAAACAUAUCCUUCCUUGGGUUUCAAGUUUGUGGUUGCUUCAUCAGUGGGACCGAUAUAGAGAUUCAUGGUGUAUUUUAUACCAGAUCCAAGAGUUCUAACUAUAGGCAGACAUAAAUAGCAAGAGCUCGUUACAAAAAGGAUUUAUGAAAGGAGUUCUAAUUCAACAAAAUUGGAUUUGAUGAUGAUCGGUGUAUUGUUGUGAACUGGAGUUGAAGGAUGAAAGACUACGAACACAAAUUCAUCAAAGGAGUUACUGGUCAGUAUUCUUUAUAAUCAAUUCUAAUUUUCUAUAUAACAUUCUUUAUAUGAAUGAGUUGUUACAUAAAUAUAUACCGUAAGUUUUAGUAAAAUGGUCUUAAUUUAAAUCAGUCUUUAUUAUACGCUAUUAGCCUAUUAUCAAGUUGACUUUCGAAAUAUUAUGAGUUACUCGCAUAAUAAUAUAUGCAUUUUGGCUUUCAUCAAACCAAACUGUCACCAAACUACAUACUCUCCCUCUUGAUUUGUAAUUUCUGAGCAUGAAAUUGUGAACUGCCACCUACCUUUGGUUUGUGACUUUUAUUCAAUAUUUGUUGAAAGAAUGGGGAAAGCAUAUGUUCAGGUGUUGUCUGUCCAGGUAAAUAACUAUUGUCAUGUUAUAUUUUGUUCUAAUUAAUGAUGUGGACGAUGAUAGGGAUGUUGCUUGCAUUUUAUAUACUAAAUAAUGGCUGAAACAUUCCCUAUGCACCUUAUGCUAUGAAGCAUGGGGUACUUCUAAAAUGGUGAAGUACCCGUACUGAGUGCUUACUUGGUACUCGUACCGUAUUGUGGAUUUUUUUUCUUUAUUAUUUUAUUUUGAGUGAAAUUGAUAAUUUUUUA